UACGUAGGGUGCAAGCGUUGUCCGGAAUUAUUGGGCGUAAAGAGCUCGUAGGCGGUUUGUUGCGUCGGCUGUGAAAUCCCGAGGCUCAACCUCGGGUCUGCAGUCGAUACUAGCGAGCUAGAGUGUUGCAGGGGAGACUGGAAUUCCUGGUGUAGCGGUGAAAUGCGCAGAUAUCAGGAGGAACACCGGUGGCGAAGGCGGGUCUCUGGGCAACAACUGACGCUGAGGAGCGAAAGCGUGGGGAGCGAACAGG
rnacentral:rRNA from 1 species